GCACUUCUUGGAUAGGCCAGGAAGUAUGCCUCUUUGAGCAUCGUUUUCACCCCAGCUCGACGGCUUCUUUUCGAAGAAGUGUCAGUCGGAGAAUGAGUCGCCUCAUUUCGAAAGGAAUGAGUCACUUUAAAUGGUUGGAGGAACGAUCAAAUCUCUACCAAUUGCGCUGAUUACUACUUGUAGUGAUUGGGCUAUUGUGCGAUGGACUAAUCGCUAGUAGACGUGGAUAAUUUUUAUCAUACGCUUACUUGCUUGAUUGGACUGUUACAUAAUGGUACUGCGAUUGUGUAUGUUUGAUCACUUAAAUCUCCAAUGUGGAAAUUGAUAAACUAAUUAUUUUUUGAAUUAGAUCUCAAAUGAAGCAAGACUACCCGCUGAACUUAAGCAUAUUAUUAAGCGGAGGAAAAGAAACUAACAAGGAUGCCCUCAGUAACGGCGAGUGAAGCGGGCGAAGCUCAACCUGAAAAUCGGAUACCCAAGCGGGUGUUCGAAUUGUGGGCUAGAGAUGCGUGAUCAGUGUGUGACUCAGGUAUAAAUCUUUUGAAACAAGGUAUCAUAGAGGGUGAGAAUCCCGUCUUUGACCUGAAGAUUCGCCACGUACGAUCCGUAGUCAUAGAGUCGAGUUGUUUGGGAUUGCAGC
rnacentral:rRNA from 1 species